rnacentral:lncRNA from 1 species
UUUAGUAGGGGUGGGCUUCAAGGCAAGAAAAGGAUAGAUGAUAAGCUUUCUUGGCCAUUAGGGCAAGUUCAUAAUGCAAAUAUAUACUCAUGCUAAUUCUGUCCACGCAUAGAAGGUGCUCGACACGAUUCCAUGAGCAUCAAGACAACCUUGAUGGUCAUCAAAAUUCCCAGGUUGAGGUCUCUUUGGAAGCUAAGAAUGAUGGUAUGGUUAGUUUUUGAAAAUAAGAAACUUGUUAGAGC